AAAAUAAAAAUUAAUAAUGGGGGUUAUUAAUAAAAAAAAUUUUAUUGUGUUAAGUUUUAAGUAGGGUUAUUUGAAAAAAUUUAAUAUUUUAUAGUUAAUUAGUAUUGUGAAAGAAUUUUGAAAAUAUAUGAAAAUAAAUUUAUUAAAAAGUAAUUUUAAUUUAAUGUAUCUUGUGUAUCAGAGUUUAUUAAUAAAAUAAUUAUUUUUAAUUUUUUUCGAAUUUAAAAGAGAUAAUUAUUUAUUAAAGUUAUUGUUGCAUAAAUAUUUUAAAUAAUUAAUUUGAAAUGAGAUGUUAAUCGUUUUUAAAUAUAUCUAAUUUUUUUAGAAAAAAAUUUAAUUUUAAAUUAAUUUAAUAAUUGAUUUAUUUUUUUUUUUAUAAUUUUAUUAUUAAAUUAAUUUUAUAUUUUAAGGGAUAAGCUUUAAAUUAAAUUUUUAUAAUUUUUUAUAUUUUUAAUUAAAAUUUUUAUUAUUUAUAUUGUAAGUAAAUUUUAUUUUAUUAUAAAUAAUUUUAUAUUUAUUUAAAAUUUAAUUUAAAUUUAAUUUUUUAUAAAAAAAAAUUUUUUUAAUUUAAUAAAAUAUGAUAUAAUGAUAAAAUUAGUAUAUAAAUUUAAUUUAAUAAAAUAUUAUUUAUAUUUAUUAAUUUUAAGGAAUUCGGCAAAAUUUUAUGUCCACUUGUUUAUCAAAAACAUGUCUUUUUGAUUUUAAUUUAAAGUUUAAUCUGCCCACUGAUGAAAAUUAAAGGGCUGCAGUAUUUUGACUGUACAAAGGUAGCAUAAUCAUUAGUCUUUUAAAUGGUGACUUGUAUGAAUGAUUGGAUGAGAUAUAAGCUGUUUUAAAUUUAUUUGAUAGAAUUUAAUUUUUUAAUUAAAAAGUUAAAAUAUAUUAAAAAGACGAGAAGACCCUAUAGAGUUUUAUAAGUAUAAUUAAAUUAAGAAUAUUUAUAAAAUUAAAAUUAUUUAAAAUUUGUUUAUUUAUUUGAUUGGGGUGAUUAAAAAAUUUAAUUAACUUUUUUUAAUUUUUAACAUAGAUAAAUGAUUUAAUGGAUCCAAUUUUAUUGAUUGAAAGAAAAAAUUACCUUAGGGAUAACAGCGUAAUUUUUUUUUUUAGUUCAUAUAAGAAAAAGAGUUUGCGACCUCGAUGUUGGAUUAAGAUGAAAUUUAAAUGUAAAAGUUUGAGUGUUUUGAUCUGUUCGAUCAUUAAAAUCUUACAUGAUCUGAGUUCAAACCGGUGUAAGCCAGGUUGGUUUCUAUCUUUUAGUAAAAAUAAUAUUUUAGUACGAAAGGAUCGAGUAUUAAAAUUAAAUUUAAUAUUUAAAGAAUAUUAUUAAAAUUUAUUUAAAAUUAAUAAAAUUAUAAAAUUUGUUUAGUUUAAUAUAAUAAUGAAUGAUAAUAGGAUUUUUAUUGUUAAUAAUAAAAAUUUAUUUAAUUAAUUUUAAUUUAUAGUAUAUUUAAUUUAUUAGUAU
rnacentral:rRNA from 1 species